rnacentral:tRNA from 1 species
GUCAGGAUGGCCGAGCGGUCUAAGGCGUCAGACUCAAGUUCUGGUCCACGAAUGUGGGCGUGGGUUCAAAUCCCACUCCUGACA